rnacentral:rRNA from 1 species
AACGAACGCUGGCGGCAGGCUUAACACAUGCAAGUCGAACGCCCCGCAAGGGGAGUGGCAGACGGGUGAGUAACGCGUGGGAAUCUACCCAUCCCUACGGAACAACUCCGGGAAACUGGAGCUAAUACCGUAUACGCCCUACGGGGGAAAGAUUUAUCGGGGAUGGAUGAGCCCGCGUUGGAUUAGCUAGUUGGUGGGGUAAAGGCCUACCAAGGCGACGAUCCAUAGCUGGUCUGAGAGGAUGAUCAGCCACAUUGGGACUGAGACACGGCCCAAACUCCUACGGGAGGCAGCAGUGGGGAAUAUUGGACAAUGGGCGCAAGCUUGAUCCAGCCAUGCCGCGUGAGUGAUGAAGGUCUUAGGAUUGUAAAGCUCUUUCACCGGAGAAGAUAAUGACGGUAUCCGGAGAAGAAGCCCCGGCUAGCUACGUGCCAGCCGCCGCGGUAA